rnacentral:snRNA from 1 species
GUCCUGGAAAAGGGGAAACCCCGACAUCGGCAGCACAUAUACUAAAAUUGGAACGAUACAGAGAAGAUUAGCAUGGCCCCUGCGCAAGAAUGACACACAAAUUCGUGAAGCAUUCCAUCAAUCC